GGGGAAUAUUGGACAAUGGGCGCAAGCCUGAUCCAGCCAUGCCGCGUGAGUGAUGAAGGCCCUAGGGUUGUAAAGCUCUUUUGUGCGGGAAGAUAAUGACGGUACCGCAAGAAUAAGCCCCGGCCAACUUCGUGCCAGCAGCCGCGGUAAUACGAAGGGGGCUAGCGUUGCUCGGAAUCACUGGGCGUAAAGGGUGCGUAGGCGGGUCUUUAAGUCAGGGGUGAAAUCCUGGAGCUCAACUCCAGAACUGCCUUUGAUACUGAGGAUCUUGAGUUCGGGAGAGGUGAGUGGAACUUCGAGUGUAGAGGUGAAAUUCGUAGAUAUUCGCAAGAGCACCAGUGGCGAAGGCGGCUCACUGGCCCGAUACUGACGCUGAGGCACGAAAGCGUGGGGAGCAAACA
rnacentral:rRNA from 1 species